GUGCUACUACAACCGCACUGGAAAGGUUUAAGUAUCUUUAGGGAUCACCUUUAUAAACAGGCGAGUCUGAGUCUAUGA
rfam:Lysinibacillus macroides strain DSM 54 Scaffold2, whole genome shotgun sequence.